ACUUUUCAAAGCUUAUGAUUGGGCUACGAAACAAUGGGCUGAGCCCAAAUUAACCCAAUUGCAUGGAACCCAAGAAAGCCUUAGGUUGGGCCAAUUGAGAACUGCCCAUCUGGCCUGUUCUCUCUAAAGGCCACCGAGGCGGCGGCGGUGUUGAAUUACUGAAAAUUUGGAGAUCUAAAGGGAAAAAGCUCAAACUCAUUGAAAAACGACGGGAAAGAUGAUUUACCGGAAAUGGAGUUUGCUAACCGGCCCUGUCGUAAUCCUCGGCGGAAUCGUGGGAGCAACCGUUGCCGCUCACCUCCUCUUCGUUGACGAUCCAUAUCUUAAACCUAAGAAGAAGUUGACGUAUACGCCACCAUCAACCAAGUAGGAAGAAGUUGAUAGCUGCUUGUUGGUUUUGGCAUUAGUUUUUUAUGACCUCUCUUGAGCAGCCAAGUGCCCAAGUUGCUGUUUGAAACAUGAGUUAUUUGUUGAAUAAUAUCAAAUACUGUUGUUGUGUAAUUUGGUUAUCUUCUCUUUUUUCUCUCUUUUAAUAAUAAUUUGGUUAUCUACAAUGUUCUUAAAUAUUGCAAAUCCACAUGAUAAAGCCGGUUUCAGCUACCGGAACGAUAUUUCGUCC